rnacentral:lncRNA from 1 species
GACCAAAUGAUACGUCAUUAAGGGACAAUGAUGUUUAUCGAGCGAAGGUCAUUGUAUGCUAUAUGGGUUGGUUGUCCUCUUAACCAAGGAGUGUGGUGACACUGGUAUGGCAUACAGGUGAGAUAUAAGGAUACAUCAUCACUGAACAAGUGACUCACCUAUUGAGUGUUCUGCUGUCAAGAGCUGCUCGUGAAACACAUGGAUAUAAAUAUCCUUCAGACCUGAAAUCACCAUAGUGACUUGCAAGCAACUCACUAUGCUUUAGUACCGAACUAUUUGGAUUUUUAAUGCGGU